UCGAACCUACGGGACGCAGCAGUGAGGAAUAUUGGUCAAUGGGCGGUAGCCUGAACCAGCCAAGUAGCGUGAAGGAUGUAGGUUCUAUGGAUUGUAAACUUCUUUUAUAAAGGAAUAAAGUGAGGCACGUGUGCCUUUUUGUAUGUACUUUAUGAAUAAGGAUCGGCUAACUCCGUGCCAGCAGCCGCGGUAAUACGGAGGAUCCGGGCGUUAUCCGGAUUUAUUGGGGUUAAAGGGUGCGUAGGCGGGCUUUUAAGUCAGCGGUAAAAAUUCGGGGCUCAACCCCGUCCGGCCGGUGAAACCGG
rnacentral:rRNA from 1 species